GUGCUCACUUCGGCAGCACAGAUACCAAAAUUGGAACGGCACAGAGACAAUGAGCAUGGCCCCUACUCAAGGAUGACAUGCAAAUUCAUGAAGCGUUCCAUAUUUUU
rnacentral:snRNA from 1 species